CAGUCGCCACGGUAAUACGUAGGUGGCAAGCGUUGUCCGGAAUUAUUGGGCGUAAAGCGCGCGCAGGCGGAUCGGUCAGUCUGUCUUAAAAGUUCGGGGCUUAACCCCGUGAUGGGAUGGAAACUGCCAAUCUAGAGUAUCGGAGAGGAAAGUGGAAUUCCUUGUGUAGCGGUGAAAUGCGUAGAUAUUGGGAAGAACACCAGUGGCGAAGGCGACUUUCUGGACGAAAACUGACGCUGAGGCGCGAAAGCCAGGGGAGCGAACGGGAUUAGAUACCCCGGUAGUCCCUGUCUCUUAUACA
rnacentral:rRNA from 1 species